AUUACAUGAUAUGAUGAUUUAACUUAUGCAUAGUUCAACUGAAUUAAAUUGAAGAUAAACUGUUACCAUCAAAUGUCUUUCACCCCUAUCUGACAUGUAAU
rnacentral:snoRNA from 2 species